rnacentral:rRNA from 1 species
UACGGGGGGAGCAAGCGUUGUUCGGAUUUACUGGGCGUAAAGGGCGCGUAGGCGGCCAGCACAAGUCAGUUGUGAAAUCUCCGAGCUUAACUCGGAAAGGUCAACUGAUACUGUGCGGCUAGAGUGCAGAAGGGGCAACUGGAAUUCUUGGUGUAGCGGUGAAAUGCGUAGAUAUCAAGAGGAACACCUGCGGCGAAGGCGGGUUGCUGGGCUGACACUGACGCUGAGGCGCGAAAGCUAGGGGAGCAAACGGG